AUGGGGCCACUAAAGGUGGCCACAUAUUCCUUGACCCUCUGUGAGUCUGUCAGUCUAUAUCUCUCCCUGGACGUAGGCAGGCCUGGGACGGCUUUGACCGUCAGUGUUGGGUGGACAUGGUGCUAUGCUGCACUCCAGGACCUCAGAGCCUGGCUGUUCCACUUUCUGCUCUUGGCCCUGAGCGGCCUUGAAGAAAUCCGACCAGGAGGGAGAGCCCAUGGAGCGGGAAGGCCUGUGGGGCUCAGCCCUGCACCCAGCCUGGAGGCCAGGCCUGUGCACACAGCUGGGACUGAGUACACUGAGUGUGCCCCCUGAAUGCCACGCGCAGCAGAAGAGCCACCCACACUGCCCUGCUGGACCUUGCCCGGACUCCAGACUCACAGACCAAGCACACGAGAGACCAGCAGCUUUGUCAUGCAGUAGCAGGUUCCCUGCUGGGGCCCAUGGGCUGCCCUGUGUACAAGCCACCUGCAGGUCCCCGCCCAGCCCGUGGGCUCAGCAAAGUCCAGCCCCACACCCAGCCUACAUCAUCCUGUCCGGUAAUGGCUGAGAUAACUCAAAGUACAAGAACUUGUCUUCCCAUCGUGUGAGUCCUGAAUUGGAGGAAUGUAUCUUCACCUUUAGCUAUCAGACCACAGAUUGAGGCUUGAAAGUUCUGCCACUGAACAUUGGAAUAGUUUCAAACACUUGUGAAACAACAGUGCCACUGGUCUAAUCCAGAUGAUUCUUUUACAGGUAGCUGUAAUAAUACACAUAGCACCUCUGACUGGGAAUAGUUACUCCCUUUUAGUCUCUGGUCCUUACUUCCCCUUAGAAAUCUAGGGCCUCUUGUGCUUUGAAAAAUUUGCCCCUAUGUAAUAAAUAUGCACGAAUCAUUACACCAAUUUGUCCUUUUCCAGCUUUAUGGUGAGUUGCUGCAACAUGACUUAGCCAUUGGUCAAGAUCUUCACAAAAGGUUUGAUAAGUUCUAGCUGUGGUGGGUUAUGGUCUUCAAAAGGAUAUUGUGCAACUCUGCCGUUAAAUUUGGCGGUGUCAUAAUGUCUUUCAGCACAAAGAUUGUAUAUCUUGUAAUGGUUUUUAUGCUUUGAAUCCAAAAACGUUUCUACAUCAUCAGUAUUGUUCCUGUAUGCGCCUUCAAGUCUUUCUGCAGGAAAUACCAUAGCGAUAAUGUUUGGAUAAAUAUAGGUUAAUUCUAAGUCGAAUCCAUCCUCUUGAUAUCUCCUUUUGUUUCUGCUAACGAUCUUUUUGAUGAUGGCUGUCAUGUCUGGGAGCCUGUGGCUGAGGAAAAAAGGAGAGAGAUGGCAGAAGCUGUGGGUGGUGGGUCUUCUUCUGCAGGAUGGAAAUGGCUCUGGGCUUGGCAGUAGCUGAUGCCCCUUGCUCUGCUGCCACUUGGCUCUGGACCACAGCUGGGUAAUGGCUGCUGGAUGGCAGCUGUCAGGUCUCUGAGCCCAAGCCUGCUCAUAUACAUCCAGAUGGCCUGAAGCAACUGAAGAAUCACAAAAGAAGUGAAAAUGGUCAGUUCCUGUCUUAACUGAUGACAUUAUCUUGUGAAAUUCCUUCUCCUGGACAAUGAGUCUCAGAAGCUCCCCACCAAGGACCUUGGGACCCCUGCCCCUGCCUGCCAGAGAACAACCCCUUUGACUAAUUUUCCAUUACCUACACAAAUCCUAUAAAACUGCCCCCUACCUAUCUUCUUUUGCUGACUCUCUUUUCGGGCUCAGCCCACCUGCACCCAGGUGAUUAAAAAGUUUUAUUGCUCACACAAAGCCUGUUGGUGGUCUCUUCACAGGGAUGUGCGUGACAUUUGGUGCUGUGACUCGGACUGGGGGACCUCCCUUGGGAGAUCAAUCCCUUGUCCUCCUGUCUUUGCUCCAUGAGAAAGAUCUACCUAUGACCUCAGGUCCUCAGACCAACCAGCCCAAGGGAACAUCUCACCAAUUUUAAAUCGGGUAAGCGGCCUCUUUUUACUCUCUCCUCCAACCUCUCUCACUAUCCCUUAACCUCUUUCUCCUUUCAAUUUCAGUGCCACCCUUCAAUCUUUCUCUUCCUUUAAUUUCAGUUCCUUUCCUUUUCUGGUAGAGACAGAGGAGAGGCGUUUUAUCCAUGAACCAAAAACUCCAGUGCCAGUCAUGGACUCGGGAAGACAGUCUUCCCUUGGUGUUUAAUCACUGCAGGGAUGCCUGCCUAAUUACACCUAUAUUUCAGAGGUGUCUGCUUUGAUCCUUCACCUUGGUAGCAAGCACCACCUCCCCUGGGUGGCAAGUACCACCCACCCCCCACUGUGUCUCUACCUUCUCUUUUCUCUGGGCUUACCUCCUUCACUGUAGGCAAGCUUCCACCCACCAUUCCUCCUCCUUCUCCCUUAGCCUGUGUUCUCAAGAACUUAAACUCUCACCUGACCUAAAACCUAAACACUAAAUGCCUUAUUUUCUUCUGCAAUACUGCUUGACCUCAAUACAAACUCGAUAAUGGUUCCAAAUAACCAGAAAAUGGCACUUUCGAUUUCUUCCCUCUACAAGAUCUAGGUAAUUCUUGUCGUAAAAUGGACAAAUGGUCUGAGGUGCCUGAUGUCCAGGUAUUCUUUUACACAUUGUUCCUUUCCUAAUCUCUGCUCCCAUGCAACUCAUGCCAAAUCCUCCUCCUUUCUCUCCUGUCUGUUCCUUCAGUCUCCAUCCCAAGCUCUGAGUCCUUUGAAUCCUGCUUUUCUAUGGACACAUCUGACCUCUCCCCUCCUCCUCAGGCUGCUCCUUGCCAGGCCGAACUAGGUCCCAGUUCUUCCCAAGCCUCCACUCCCCCACCGUAUAAUCUUUUUUAUCAUCUCUCCUCACACCCGGCCUGGCUUACAGUUUCAUUCUGCAAGUAGCCCUCCCCAACUUGCCCAACAAUUUCCUCUUAAGGGGGUGGCUGGAGCUGAAGGCAUAGUCAAGGUUAAUGCUCCUUUUUCUUUAUCUGACCUUUCCCAGAUCAGUUAGGGUGUAGGUUAUUUUUCAUCAAAUAUAAAACCCCAUCCUAGUUCAUGGCCCGUUUGGCAAUAACCCUUAAAAUGCUUUACCUAGAUCCAGAGAGGCCAGAAGGCCAUCUCAUUCUCAAUAUGCAUUUUAUUAUCCAACCCACUCCCGAUAUUAGAAAAAAACUCCAAAAAUUAGAUUCCAGCCCUCAAACCCCACAAGAGGACUUAACCUCUCCUUCAAGGUGUACAAUAAGAGAAAAGAGUUGCAAUUACUUGCCUUCACUGUGAGACAAACCCCAGCCACAUCUGCAGCACACAAGAACUUCAAAACGCCUAAGCCACAGUGGUCAGGCAGUCCUUCAGGGCCUCCUCCCCAGGAUCUUGCUUCAAGUGCUGGAAAUCUGGCCACUGG
ensembl:lncRNA